UGCGCCGUGUAGUCGGGCCGGACCCGCGUGAGGCGCCAGUAGCACGGCUCGUCGUGCUGCCACAGCCAGGACUUGCGCGUGACAAGGCGGCCCAGGCCGAAGAGCGGGAGGCGGCCAAGCAACUGCAGGAGGCGGCUCUCGCGGCGCACAUCGGCCCAGGCUCGCGCGGGCAGCUUGCGGCCCGAGUGCGGCCGCGUCAGCGUCUCGUAGUCCAGGGCGUAGCGCUCCGAAUCGCGCGGCCGCUCCCGCUGCUCGCGCAGGGCCCGCACGCGGCGGGCCAGCUCGGCGAUCAGCCGCGGCCCCACCUUCUUCCGCGCCAUGGCCGGGCAGCCUCCGCGCUCCGGCCGGAAGAUGCCACCGCGCGCCGCGGGGCGAGCCCGACGCCGGAAGCGGCGGGUGUCCCCCGCAAAGGCGUCCGGGCGCUGCCGGAAGGGGAGAAGAGGCCGGGCGGGCCGUGGCGAGGGCUGGGUCUGGGAGGGCUGGGGGCUUGCGCCGGGGCCGGGGAUAGCUGCAGCCCCCGACCUGGGAGAUACCGGACUCGGACAUCGAGGGCCCCGCGGGCGAGGAGGCCGCCGCCAGGGUCCGAGACCCGGCGGAAGAGCACAGGGCGGCGGCCGAGGUGGUGCGGAGGCUGCGGCCCGAGCAAGCCGUGCGGCGCCUGGCGCCAUUCUGGAAGAUGCCGGUGCCGACAUCCUGAUGGAGGCUCUGGACGCCCUGAGCUGUGAGUGCCGCGUGGAGCCCGAACGCCCUGCAUGGAGCCUCGGGUGGAGCAGAGUGAAGCCAGACCCUUGCUCCCUCAGUGUGCCUCCUGAGGUGUGGGCUGCGGAUGAGCAGGACCAGCUGCUGCUGCUGGAGCCUGAGGAGUUUCUGCAGGGCGUUGUCCAGCUGACCCAGACAUGUGGCCCAACCUGUUCUGUGCCCUGGAUCAGUCCUGAGAGCCCUGCCUGCCUCCACCUGGCUGUCAUUGGGCUGAUGUUUACCUGUGGCCCUGGUGCUUCUGCAGCUCUGGGCAAACGUGGAUGUGCUGUUGGUGGCCUCCUGGUAGGAGCUGAGUCAGCAUGUGUGUGCCUUCACCAAGGCCCUCACCCAGCGUCCCUUCAAGCACUUCCCUGCAUCCUCCCCUUCCCAGGCAGUCCCGGGAGUCUGGGGCCUUUUCCUUCUGCACCACCGCGUGCUGGGCAGCAGCCAAGAACAGUGGCAAGAGAUGGCACUGGCCUGCGGGGGGCCUGCUGGCAGCAGAUCAGGCAGUUCAACUGUGUCAGCCCGGCUGUGGCCAAUGCUGUUGUUGCUGCCUUCCCUUCCCCCUGCCUUCUGCAACAGCCUCAGACGAGAGGAACAGCAGCUGACAACAUGCAAAGCAAGUUAAGAAAAACCCAAGGCCGGCGGCGACAGCAGGAAGAGCCGACCUCUCACGAAGCCGUCCUCCUCACAGGCAGCAGACCAGCCUCCCAGGCCUGCAGCCUGAGUCCAGACAUGCUGGGGCAGCAGCUCCCCAGAGACUCUGAGAAGGAAAGUGGCUGCUCCCACACCCGGCACAGGAAGCAGACAGACUAGGAAGUCCGGGUCUCCGGAUCACAGGGAUAAUGGCCCCGGAGCCCCUGUAGCAAGGCCUCUCCCAGCCUCGGGUGGCAGGGGGGCAGCCGAGACAAACCUUGGUUCAGUCCUCCCUCUCCUGUUGCCCUGGGGGUGGUCCAAAGGGAGAAACAGAGAAAACGCCAUCCCAGCUGUAGAAGGCAGUUUUCACUGGGAAACAAGCUAGGUCCUUCGGCAGCGCUUCCUCUGGCAGCGCCGGGUCUCAGGGCUGCUGGGAUUGGCCAUGGGCGAGGGUGUGGGGGGCUUGCGGUGGCCGCAGCUCAUGCUCAGGACCCAGCCCAGCUUGUGGUGCAGCACCUGCUUGAGGCCGGGCGGCAGGGGCAGGCCCUCGAGCGUGUCCCCAGAGUCAGGCCGCAGCUGGCGCAGGCGGUAGCAGCACAGGUAUUGCAGGGAGGUGAUGCUGGCACAGGAGCGGAUCACCUUCAUGCUGCUCUUGGCCGCCGUGGAGCACACCAUUGGGUAGAACCUCUUGUUCUGCAGCUUGGUGGCUGCCACUCCUGGGGGUGGGGAGGUGGCACAGCCUGAACCCUAAGCUCAGGCUCUCCUAAGGGGACGAAGGAUGCUGGGAUUUCCACCUACCCCCCGGCCUUGCCCGGUUCUGGGGACCCUGAGACCUCAGGGAUGCAAGGAUGGCCUUGCAAGGAUGGCCUUUCAGGGCCCUCAACCUCACCAGGAGCUCAGUGGCAGCCACGCUCUGCGGGCAUGUGUCAGAGUCACCUCCUCACCUAUGCACUUCCUGUUCUUAAAAAAGGUCAGCGUCCCAUGCCAGGUGUCCAGGUGCACGCCAAUGAUGGAGCCCUGGCCGAACCGGGAGGAGAAGCUCAUCUUGUCGCCCUUGUGGUGGAGGAGGCCUGGGGGCAGCAGGGUCGGGGUGAGCCCUGCAGCCUCGGGGCCCCCCAACCCUGCCCACCCUGGGGGCCCCACGCACCCGUGUAGGAGAGGCCCCAGCUGUCCUCGUCCCGGCCGAGCAGGCUGCAGAAUGUGUGGUGGUACUUGUCCAGGUCCACGUCCGAUGUCCCGAUGCCCACCAUCUGGAAACGGCAGAACUGGCAGAGGGGGCUGGGGACCAAGGUGCCCGGCACCCCUCCCCCAACCCUGCCGGCCACUUACCAUGUCAGUGCCAUAGACGGGCGAGGUCAUCUUGAUCUCCCAGAAGUGCUGGCCCUCCCCCAGCUCCUUUGUACCCCGGAUGGCCGCUGUGCCACAGCUGUAUUCCAUGUGGAAGUUGACCUUCCGGUUGUCACAGCUCAGCAGGGUGGCCGAGGACUUAUUCAGGUCAUCCCAGACCCAGUCAAAAUCUGUGAGAGAAGAGGCCCAGGCUCGCCAGGCUCCCCCCCAGCCCAGAGGUCCGCCCACCCGCCGCAGGCCCCCACACUCACACUCGUCCUCCUCCCCGCAGCGGCAGUCCCUGCCCCGGUGGGCGGCGUGCAGACUGCCGCAGAAGGCCUCACUCUGACUGUCACAGUCGCAGAAGGACUCCCCAGUCACAGGCACGGCGCUGGGGAUGGAUGACGGCAGAGAUGCAUACUCGGGGUCGGAAUCUGAGUCGCUGUGCUGAGGGGAAAGGGCCAGCUGUUCCUGCCUCCUGCCCUCUGCCGGCCCAACCGACCCCUUCCCCCACCUGCCCUGCCACCCACCCCAGGCCCACGGGUGAACGGCCACACGCCCCAAGGAAGGGAUCUGGGGCUUUGGCCUCAAAGGGCCUCCUCAGGUCUCAAGGGCUCAGCCAGCCAGCCACAGUGACCCUGGACAUCUUUUCUGGCUCAGGAGCUGCAAGGGGGCCUCCUUGCCAAAGGCCUACCACGCCGGUGGCUUCCUGGGAGUGGAGUGGAGGGCCCCGGAGGCCUAGCCACUAAUAAGCCCCAAGACAGGGCUGCAUGCUUAGCCAUCGUCGUUGUCCAGAGAACAUCUAGAUUGUGAUAAAUGGGAGCGUGACAGCAAAGUCCGUUGCUGACCUAAUGAAGGCACCUGGUCUCCCCGUGGCAGCAGCUGGGCUCCAGGGGGGCCGAUGGCCGUGGUCCCCUUGUCCGUGCAAGGGUGUGCUCUCAACCCCCAUCACAGGACCCUGACGAGCAAGCCCCAUGGUCUCAGGCUGUGGCAGGAAAACAUUCAGUUGGGCCUUGGCCCUCUGCGUGUGGCUCUCAGUCCUCACCGAAUGGACUCCAAGCCUUGAGGGCCUGAUCUUGGCCCAGGGGCCAGACGCUGAGGCUGAGCUGGUCUGGUUCCGGGGACCAGCUGACCCACAGACCCUCCUGGAGGCCAGUGAGGGCGCCUCUGUACACCUUGUUGUUCCUGUUCUGGAGCCACGUGGGCCCCUCAAGACACCCACCCAGGCUCUGACAUCUGGCCGACCAGUGAGGGCCUGGAGUCUCAGGCCCCAGGGGUGCAGGCAGCCUCUGCAUGCCUGCUCUCUGAGCCCUCCCAGCUUCGCCUGGGGUCCUGGUGGGGCUCUGGCCUCCACCCUCACUCUCUUGGCCUCUGGGUGCUGCUCUGGGCCCUGCGGAAAUGCCCUCUGCACAGUGGUCUGGGUGACCUGUUCAGACCUGGGAAUCCUGCUGCCCUGAGAAUCCUGCUGCCCUGAGAACAAAGCCCACAGACUUAACUCUCGUCAGAGAAUAUAAGACCCCCUCCUUGCCCAGCCUCCUCCUCUGCCCUGUCCACCCCUGUCCCCAUGGGGCAGGAGUGGGGGUCUGUUUGCCCCCGGAUGGCUUUUGGAUACCAUUUCAAAGAGGCUCUUUCAGCCUCUCAUGCUGCGUCCUCUUCCUUCUCUUCCUUUCUCGUAGGCUUCCCUGACGCUCUCCUGGGUCCUGCUCACCUGCCUCCUCCCACCGGAACUGAGUUCCUUUGUUAUUACACUCAGCCCCAAGUGCCACACAGGAGCUCUGGGAACUGAUGGCAGAGACAGCUCAGGGAGUGAGGAGGCCGAGCCCCAGUUGGAGACAGACGCCAGCAAGGACAGUGGCAGCAGGCCCAAAGCACCCCGCUCACGGGGAAGAGCGAUCCCCCACAAGCCAAGGCAGGCCCACUGCUGCCAGAGGAGACAAUCCCUUCCCAUUGAGUCAGGAGCCAGGGGCACAGACCUGAGCACUGCUGGCCCCGGGGGUCAUACUGCUUGGCACCCAGCACACAACCCCCUGUGCAGAGGGCAGACCCGGCCCCACCACAAGCUGUAAGGAGAGCUUAGAGCAGCGGAGACAAGGACAUGUGUGUUCGGCCUUCAAAGGUGCUGGGGUGACACGCUCUCUCCAUCCACACGUGCACACAAGUACCCCGGGCCAAUUAGGUGACCGGAUGAGCCACAGGUGUGUAUCAGACACUGCACCCCCAGCCCCUGGACGCCUCCCACAUCCCACAGCGAUGAGCCAGAGAGGCAGAGACAGACAGGAGAAAAGACUGCUCCAGGCCACGUGGUCAGUGGAAGCUGGAGGCGGGAUAGGAAUGCAGGCUGAGGCCUCUCGCUGGCCCAGGCAGGGAGCUAAGGGAGGCCCCAGGAAGGGGACCCAGGAUGUCGCCUCCAAUUCUGCCCCAAGCCCUGGUGCUUCCACGGGACUCAGCUGCCCUCACUGAGGGCUGGGGAGGAUAGGCACCUGUCCCCACCCAGACACCUGGCUGAGCCAGGGCACCCAGGCAGGGUGGCUGUGACAGAGCAGAACCAAGUCACCCGAAGAUCACCCUGAAAACAACAGGGGUGACUCACGGCAAAGCCAAAGCCCAGCUCUGGUCUGAGAGGUUCAGGAAACUGACUUGUGAAGCCCUCCCCACAUGCCCCCCACGGCAGGCACAGAGGCCACAGAGCCCCACCACCCCACCCCUGUGGCGGGAGUCAGCGUGGUGAGGCUCUGGUUGCAAACACCUCAGGUCCAUCAGGAACCUCCACUGCAGACAGACAGCUGAGCCGCCCUCCUCACGGCCUCUGUAUUCCUGGGCCUUGCAGAGCUCAGGGUCCUGAGCACAGGAAGGCUCAGGAAUGUCGGUCUUUAAAGAUCAAAAUUCUUUUUUUAGAUGCAUAUACACAAACGUUGAGUACAGACUUCAACAGGCAGAGAAAACGUCCAGAAGGUUGCACACAGAGAGGCAUCUUUCUCUUUCAGUCUCAGUUCAGGCAAUAUUUAGUCCAGCCAUGCCCACCAUGCUCACCCACUGGAACCUACCUGCCCAUCAGAGUCGUAGCCCCAGUUGGUGGACCCUGCCAGAGCCACGGCCCGGGCAUCCGCAUCUCGGCGAGCUGCACUCAGGACAAAAUGCCACGCUCUGCUGCUCCGUGGGCGCCUGGCCAUGGUGGGCAGGAUCUGGAAGAAAGCACAAGGUCUGAGCAAAGAAAGACAUAUGACACACCAGUAGGUCCCCCAGCACCCCCUGCACUUGGCCCCCAGACUGUGCCAGCCCACCCAGGGUCCGGAACUCUCUUCACAAGCUCAUACCUCACUCCAGUGUCCGAGUACCUUGAUGAAACCCAGGUGGAGAGCAUGGAAUGCCAUCCUGACAUCCAUGACUCUCAAAUGCCUAGCUCAGCCCCUCUCCGAGCUCGGCCUCAGGAUUGCAAGUGUCCCUCCUGCACAUCCCUCAAGCAUCUCAAACCUUGCCUGCCCCUCCUCCAUUCUCCAUUUUGACAAACGGCAUAUCUAGCCUCCGAGUUCCUCAUGCCAAACACACAGCAGUCAUCCCCAACACUUCUUUCCUCCCUCCCACCACGGCCUCACAGCCCUCCGCGCCCCACACCGUCUCCAAAACAUGUCCUGAAUCCCUCUCCACCCCUGCUGCCACCUUGCCUGCCCCACCCGCACACAACUCGUCUUCGCUCUGGCUCCUCCCACUUCACUCACUACAACCGAACUUUUUUUGAAAUACAAAUCUUAAAAUUUUAAAUUAACGAGUUAACUCCUCAGGGCUUGCCACUGUUCUUAGAAUAAAGUACAAUAUUCUACAAAGCCUACAAGUUCCGGCCCUGUUCCGGCUGGUAGCUCUUUCCAGCCCUUUGCCCACAACGCUUUCCCCUCCCCUCUUUGGCUCUCAACUUCCAUGCCCGACUUACAGUAAUAAGUCGCCCUCUGUGAUCGUCUACUUCCCGGCUCUGCCCUGGUUUGAAAUCCCCAGAAGGGCCCUGCCACGACCCCGAGGGGCGGCAGUGAAUUAGCGCAGACAGAGCUUUUGAGAGAUAGGAUCCCGUCCGCAGACCAGGGUUGGUUACUGAAACUGGCCAGAGUGGGCCCGGCCUAAUCCUCGCCCGCCACCGCCGCAGCAACAGUAAGCGCCAGGCCGUGCACGCGCA